rnacentral:rRNA from 1 species
UACGUAGGGGGCAAGCGUUGUCCGGAAUCAUUGGGCGUAAAGAGCGUGUAGGCGGCCCGAUAAGUCCGCUGUGAAAGUCCAGGGCUCAACCCUGGGAUGCCGGUGGAUACUGUCGGGCUCGAGUCCGGAAGAGGAGUGUGGAAUUCCUGGUGUAGCGGUGAAAUGCGCAGAUAUCAGGAGGAACACCAAUGGCGAAGGCAGCACUCUGGGACGUGACUGACGCUCAUGCACGAAAGCGUGGGGAGCAAACAGG